rnacentral:rRNA from 1 species
UACGUAGGGUGCGAGCGUUAAUCGGAAUUACUGGGCGUAAAGCGUGCGCAGGCGGUUCGUUAAGUCAGAUGUGAAAGCCCCGGGCUCAACCUGGGAACUGCAUUUGAAACUGGCGGGCUCGAGGCUGGUAGAGGGCGGUGGAAUUCCGGGUGUAGUGGUGGAAUGCGUAGAGCUCCGGAGGAACACCAGUGGCGAAGGCGGCCGCCUGGGCCAGUCCUGACGCUGAGCCGCGAAAGCGUGGGGAGCGAUCCGG